UACGUAGGGUCCAAGCGUUGUCCGGAUUUAUUGGGCGUAAAGAGCUCGUAGGCGGUUCCGUAAGUCGGAUGUGAAAACUCGGGGCUCAACCCCGAGACGCCAUCCGAUACUGCGGUGACUUGAGUCUGGUAGGGGAACACGGAAUUCCUGGUGUAGCGGUGAAAUGCGUAGAGAUCCGGAAGAACACCGGUGGCGAAGGCGGCCUGCUGGGCAGUUUAGCUGACACUGAGGCGCGACAGCGUGGGGAGCAAACAGG
rnacentral:rRNA from 1 species